rnacentral:lncRNA from 1 species
AAGAACAAGUCCAUUAAUUACUUUGGUUAUAUUCCAAAAUAUCAAAGUGUAUAUACAUCAUGAUAGUCCAUUUCUUGAUCCACCAAGUAAUUAAAUAAAGCAUUUUCACUUACCAAAAUACCCACGGUUUGCCCCCUUAAAUCCAAAACUCAACAAAACAAAAAUCACAAAAAUGAUGAGAAAAACGUGGGUAUUUUGGAUAUAAAUAUUAGCCCUUACUUUAUAUUAAAAAAACUAAUUAAAAUGGAGAAAAAUAGAGGGAAUAGAAGUAUUCUACUUGUUGUGAAGAGGAUCUGGGCAGCUGGGCACCCUUCGUUUGUCUUCUUGAAGACCUUUGUCAGUGGUGUUCAGAUCAGAAACUCUUCCAUUAUAGAAUUUACGAAAGAGAUCAGGUUGACUAAUCUUGUUCAUCCCUCCUUUCAUCCGAGUCUCUGUUUUGACCUCCUCCCUUGCAUUUAAUACCCGUAUUGCCCUUACUUUGCAGUCACUAAACACCCAAAUAUGCAGCACUGAGAGAAUGAUGAACAGCACCACCAGAGAAGAGUACAUAGAUGAACUCCUUCCGCCGGAAAAUGACAUCGCCGGUAACCCACAUAAAGUCGAUGAAAAUAUUAGUAAACUUACCUGCCCAAACUAUUUUUGGCUGCACUCUUUGGUGUGUUUUUUUCAGCUUGUUUGUGAGUACACCAGUCUUUUAUAAGGCCGGGGGGGCUGAAAUAGAGAAUUUAUUUAUUUUUGUUGAGUUGAGUCG